UUUUGUGUUGUUUUAUAUUUACAUAUUUUAGAUCGAGUAAUUUUCCUCUAACAAUUUAUGUGGUGACCAGAACAGCAUUAAGGAGGUAGAAGCAAAUGUUUGAGAAUGGGCAGAAAUGUUGCCACAGUGUGUCUUACCAGAAAUCUUCUGGCAGAGAUGAAAUCCACAGCAGCAGUAUGACAGAAGAUACAUUAAAUCAGUCGGUGGACCCAUGAAGAGAGAAACUCCAUCUUUCUGCAGUAACAACAAAAAUUCAAAGCAGAAGCAGCUGUAAUGUGUAUGCUGUCAGGAUUUUAAGAACAACUAACCUGGUUUAAAGUAGUUUUUCUCAUGUUAAUAUGGGAAACAAUGCCACCUUCUCAAGCUGUUGAUGACACUCCGAAGUAUUCAUUGCU
rnacentral:lncRNA from 1 species